rnacentral:rRNA from 1 species
AACGAACGCUGGCGGCAUGCCUAACACAUGCAAGUCGAACGAGACCUUCGGGUCUAGUGGCGCACGGGUGCGUAACGCGUGGGAAUCUGCCCUUAGGUUCGGAAUAACUUCGGGAAACUGAAGCUAAUACCGGAUGAUGACGUAAGUCCAAAGAUUUAUCGCCUAAGGAUGAGCCCGCGUUGGAUUAGCUAGUUGGUGAGGUAAAGGCUCACCAAGGCGACGAUCCAUAGCUGGUCUGAGAGGAUGAUCAGCCACACUGGGACUGAGACACGGCCCAGACUCCUACGGGAGGCAGCACGUGGGGAAUAUUGGGACAAUUGGGCGAAAAGCCUGAUCCAGCAAUGCCGNACUGAGUGAUGAAGGCCUUAGGGUUG